AACGAACGCUGGCGGCGUGCCUGAGACAUGCAAGUCGUGGGAGAAAGUCGGAGCAAUCCGGCUAGUAAACCGGCGCACGGGUGAGUAACACGUGGACAACCUGCCUUGGAGUUCGGGAUAACCCGUCGAAAGACGGACUAAUACCGGAUAUGACCACGGGGAGUUCGCUCUCUGAGGUAAAAGAUGGCCUCUGCUCCUGCAAGCUAUCUCUUCGAGAGGGGUCCNCGUCCUANCAGCUAGUUGGUGAGGUAACGGCUCACCAAGGCUAAGACGGGUAGGCUGGUCUGAGGAGGAUGGUCAGCCACACUGGGACUGAGACACGGCCCAGAGUCCUACGGGAUGCAGCAGUCAGGAAUAUUGCGCAAU
rnacentral:rRNA from 1 species